UGUGGGGAGUGGGGACAACCUGCGGGGAGGGGAAUUUUUUUCCCAUCUGGUUCUUUUGAGCGGCGACGGCGGCUGCUUUAACAGCGGCGGCGGUCGGCUAGAUGCCAUGGCGGGGUGAGCAGGCAAGCAGCCCGGCGGCACCGCGGUAGGCGAAUAGGGCGGUGGCCGGAGAGACCGCCGGCGGCAAGCGAGUAGCCGAGCAGGGACUCCGCCGGCGGCGUCUCUAGUUCCCAUGGUAUUGCAGUGAUGCCCCGGCGUUGCUCCUGUUAUUCUUUGUGAGCUUGUAGCGGUGCUCCCGUCUCCUGCUCGAGUCAUCGUCCCCACUGCGUGCACAAGGAGGCAACGCUAGAUUUGAUGGAUGCAUUCAGAUUUGACAAGGUAUAAUAAGCCAAUAAGGUGUAUUUUGUUAAAUGAUUGCCAUUUGACCUGUAGUACAGAUUUAGCACUUGCCAGUGACUUGUGAACUUGAGAUUUGAGAAACUAUGAAGUAGUACGAGACUAUGAACUGUAUGAGUCACAUGUUGAAUAUUAUAUGGUUAUAUGAUUAAGCUGAGUUAGUUAUGAGCUUGUUUUA